rnacentral:tRNA from 1 species
GGGCCCGUGGUCUAGUCUGGCUAUGACGUCACCCUUACACGGUGAAGAUCGUGUGUUCAAAUCACACCGGGCCCA